UUCCCGUGGCAUGCUGAUCCCGCAUUACUAGCGAUUCCAGCUUCAUGAAGUCGAGUUGCAGACUUCAAUCUGAACUACGGACUGUUUUUUGAGUUUCGCUUCACCUCGCGGCUUCGCUUCCCUUUGUUCAGCCCAUUGUAGCACGUGUGUAGCCCAAGGCAUAAGGGCCAUGAGGACUUGACGUCAUCCCCACCUUCCUCCAGUUUGUCACUGGCAGUUCCACUAGAGUCCACAGCUUCACCUGUUUGUAACUAGCAGUAAGGGUUGCGCUCGUUGCGGGACUUAACCCAACAUCUCACAACACGAGCUGACGACAGCCAUGCAGCACCUGUUCAGCAGCCAUUGCUGGAAAGAGUAUCUCUACCCUCGUCUACUGUAUGUCAAGCCUUGGUAAGGUUUUUCGCGUAUCAUCGAAUUAAACCACAUGCUCCACCGCUUGUGCGGGCCCCCGUCAAUUCCUUUGAGUUUCACCCUUGCGGGCAUACUCCCCAGGCGGUACACUUAACGCGUUUGCUUCGGCACUAGAAAAUAACUCCUCUAACACCUAGUGUACAACGUUUACUGUGUGGACUACCAGGGUAUCUAAUCCUGUUUGAUCCCCACACUUUCGCAUUUCAGCGUCUGUCGCAGACCAGAGAUUCGCCUUCGCCACCGGUAUUCUUCCGCAUAUCUACAGAUUUCACCCCU
rnacentral:rRNA from 1 species